UCUCCUCUGUCUCCUUUUUGGACAUAAACCUCUGGUGUUUGUGAAUUAAUUUUCCUGACAAUUUUUGGGGGCUCGGUCUAGGAUAUUUCCACCGUCCGGGGUGGUGGGCAGCGAGCGGAGCUGAAGGCACCUCACCCAGUUUCGGUGAUCAGCUCCCCUUGGUGGCAGCCGGCACCGGGCGAUCAAUUGGGUUCCCGAGACUGGCCAGGAGACAGACGAGUGGCAGACCAGGGGAGUCUGUGAAAAGUCCACAGGGAAGGACCACUGAAAAUCUCACCGGAAGCUCAGCUGACACAGACCCUGCCUUGGGACUUUGCUGUGCAUAAUAUCCAACCAGGAGACUAAGUUAAGUUAAGACUCCUAGUUAAGGAGUGGAAAGAAGCAACAUUGGUGGCAAAGUAGUGUGGACCUUUCCAGAUGUUGCUGACCACAGAAACAGCCAUCAAGACAGCUGGACACGGGUGGACCCAUCACACUCGGAUCAAAGUCUCUAAAGCUCCAGAGAUUUUGACAUCUCAGCUGGAGGAGAAGGAUGGGAAGCCACGACUGACACUCCGCAGGAGUGGACUGGAGCAGUAGCCGUGCGUCGACAUCGGGGGAAGCCCUGAGUGCCUA